UUAAAUCUUAUUUGUACAAUUAACUGGGGCUACUCUUAUAUACUAAUUAUGUGUGUCAGUUUAUUCUUAUCGUCAAUAUUUAAAAAAAUAAAUGAAAAGCUCGUCUCUGUGCAAGGACAGUAUAUGCCUGCAGCGUUCUGGAAAAGUAUACGUGAGGAUUACAAUAAUGCGACGCAUUUGGUGCGAUUGUUUGACGGACAUAUUAAUACAAUUACAUUUACUGCAUUUACAAGUAACUUGUUUAUCAUGUGCUUGAGGGUGUACAAUAUCUUGGCGUAUGGAUUACAUUUUACUGAACCUAUUGAUGAAUGUUCCAAUAAUAUUACUGGAACAUCCCACGAAUAUGAACAGGUGAUAUCGUAUGUUACAUCACUCAUAUUCUUGAUAGUUUUGAGCCUGCUGGUGGCAUUGCUAGCGUCAAAU